GAUGAACGCUAGCGGCAGGCCUAACACAUGCAAGUCGAGGGGUAGAACACUUCGGUGUUUGAGACCGGCGCACGGGUGCGUAACGCGUAUGCAAUCUACCUUGUACAGGGGAAUAGCCCGGAGAAAUUUGGAUUAAUGCCCCAUAGUAUAUAACCUUCGCAUGUUGGUUAUAUUAAAGUUCCAACGGUACAAGAUGAGCAUGCGUCCCAUUAGUUAGUUGGUAAGGUAACGGCUUACCAAGACGAUGAUGGGUAGGGGUCCUGAGAGGGAGAUCCCCCACACUGGAAAUGGGACACGGACCAGACUCCUACGGGAGGCAGCAGUGAGGAAUAUUGGUCAAUGGGCGCAAGCCUGAACCAGCCAUGCCGCGUGCAGGAAGACGGUCCUAUGGAUUGUAAACUGCUUUUAUACGGGAAGAAACAACUCUACGUGUAGAGUCUUGACGGUACUGUAGGAAUAAGGAUCGGCUAACUCCGUGCCAGCCGCCGCAGUAAAAC
rnacentral:rRNA from 1 species